rnacentral:rRNA from 1 species
GACGAACGCUGGCGGCGUGCUUAACACAUGCAAGUCGAACGGAAAGGCCCUGCUUUUGUGGGGCGCUCGAGUGGCGAACGGGUGAGUAACACGUGAGUAACCUGCCCUUGACUUUGGGAUAACUUCAGGAAACUGGGGCUAAUACCGGAUAGGAGCUCCUGCUGCAUGGUGGGGGUUGGAAAGUUUCGGCGGUUGGGGAUGGACUCGCGGCUUAUCAGCUUGUUGGUGGGGUAGUGGCUUACCAAGGCUUUGACGGGUAGCCGGCCUGAGAGGGUGACCGGCCACAUUGGGACUGAGAUACGGCCCAGACUCCUACGGGAGGCAGCAGUGGGGAAUAUUGCACAAUGGGCGGAAGCCUGAUGCAGCAACGCCGCGUGCGGGAUGACGGCCUUCGGGUUGUAAACCGCUUUCGCCUGUGACGAAGCGUGAGUGACGGUAAUGGGUAAAGAAGCACCGGCUAACUACGUGCCAGCAGCCGCGGUGAUGCGUAGGGUGCGAGCGUUGUCCGGAUUUAUUGGGCGUAAAGGGCUCGUAGGUGGUUGAUCGCGUCGGAAGUGUAAUCUUGGGGCUUAACCCUGAGCGUGCUUUCGAUACGGGUUGACUUGAGGAAGGUAGGGGAGAAUGGAAUUCCUGGUGGAGCGGUGGAAUGCGCAGAUAUCAGGAGGAACACCAGUGGCGAAGGCGGUUCUCUGGGCCUUUCCUGACGCUGAGGAGCGAAAGCGUGGGGAGCGAACAGGCUUAGAUACCCUGGUAGUCCACGCUGUAAACGGUGGGUACUAGGUGUGGGGUCCAUUCCACGGGUUCCGUGCCGUAGCUAACGCUUUAAGUACCCCGCCUGGGGAGUACGGCCGCAAGGCUAAAACUCAAAGGAAUUGACGGGGCCCCGCACAAGCGGCGGAGCAUGCGGAUUAAUUCGAUGCAACGCGUAGAACCUUACCUGGGUUUGACAUGGAUCGGGAGUGCUCAGAGAUGGGUGUGCCUCUUUUGGGGUCGGUUCACAGGUGGUGCAUGGCUGUCGUCAGCUCGUGUCGUGAGAUGUUGGGUUAAGUCCCGCAACGAGCGCAACCCUUGUUCACUGUUGCCAGCACGUUAUGGUGGGGACUCAGUGGAGACCGCCGGGGUCAACUCGGAGGAAGGUGGGGAUGACGUCAAGUCAUCAUGCCCCUUAUGUCCAGGGCUUCACGCAUGCUACAAUGGCUGGUACAGAGAGUGGCGAGCCUGUGAGGGUGAGCGAAUCUCGGAAAGCCGGUCUCAGUUCGGAUUGGGGUCUGCAACUCGACCUCAUGAAGUCGGAGUCGCUAGUAAUCGCAGAUCAGCAACGCUGCGGUGAAUACGUUCCCGGG